UUGAAAGUUGUCACGCGCGACGCCGUAAUGUCUGAUAGCAAAUUUAGCGAUAGUGACGGGUCCCUGUCACUAAGCGGUGAAGAUGAGCUCAUCGGCGCCGAUCGAUUGAAGAACCGGGGACGUCGAUGAACCUUUAGCUACUGACCCUUUGCAACAUCAAAGUGGUUAGCCAGUGAAAGUAGUGGAUGAUCGGGAAUCGAUUGACGCGGGUGUGUGUGUAGACACUGCUCGCCAAUACCAGCAUGUGUGUUGUGCGCACAAUCCGGAACCUGUUUCGAUCAGUCACGUACACAUGGGGUUGUAUUCUCCUGAAAGGUGUUGUAAGAUUUGGUCAUAUAUGUAUCAGAACUUGGACAGACUGCAGAAGAAAGCUGCUCUCUCUAUCCAUUCCCGCAAGCGGCAGGAGGUUGUCAACGUGAUAAGUGAAGGCUUUCCAUUCAUGUCAUUACACCUGGAGCAAAUGACAAAAUCAAGGAUAAGCUGAUCUACUUCAACGUCUUCAAUUACCCCUGGCCUAUGAAAAAAAAAGCCCUUUUCAGGACCAUCCAACAUAUCUGCAUCAAAGACCAUGCUUCUGCAUCGAAUAAGCUCUUAUCAUCAUGGAUGAUUAUAGUAGUAUUUCAUAUCAAAAAUACCUAGACGUGCAUUACGAAUGUGCAAGAUGGAUCAGCCGUCUUUUUGCUAAUGUUAUGGCGGUGUGUUCAUGAGCCCAUGGCUCAGAUUUUGAUUGUGUCAGGGGUUGCACACUAAGAUGUCCAGCACGUUGAAUAUAAAAGAUUUGGAAACGUUUAAAAACUUUCAAAAAUAUCAAAAAUACCUGGAUGUCCAUCACAAAUUCGUAAGAUGGAACAGCGGUUUGCAACUUGUCGACAUGUCCUCUGGCUUAUUGUUGCUCAUGUUACACCGGUGUGUUCAUGAGCCCAUACUGGCUCAGAUUUUGAUUGUGUCAGGGGUUGCACACUAAGAUGUCCAGCACGUUGAAUAUAAAAGAUUUGGAAAUGUUUAAAAACUUUCAAAAAUAUCAAAAAUACCUGGACGUACAUGACAAAUUUGUAAGAUGGAACAGCGGUUUGCAACAUGUUUACAUGUCGUCUGGCUUAUUGUUGCUCAUGUUACACCGGUGUGUUCGUGAGCCCAUACUGGCUCAGAUUUUGAUUGUGUCAGGGGUUGCACACUAAGAUGUCCAGCACGUUGAAUAUAAAAGAUUUGGAAAUGUUUAAAAACUUUCAAAAAUAUCAAAAAUACCUGGACAUACAUGACAAAUUUGUAAGAUGGAACAGCGGUUUGCAACAUGUUUACAUGUCGUCUGCUUUUUGUUGCUCAUGUUACACCGGUCUGUUCGUGAGCCCAUACUGGCUCAGAUUUUGAUUGUGUCAGGGGUUGCACACUAAGAUGUCCAGCACGUUGAAUAUAAAAGAUUUGGAAAUGUUUAAAAACUUUCAAAAAUAUCAAAAAUACCUGGACAUACAUGACAAAUUUGUAAGAUGGAACAGCGGUUUGCAACAUGUUUACAUGUCGUCUGCUUUUUGUUGCUCAUGUUACACCGGUCUGUUCGUGAGCCCAUACUGGCACAGAUUUUGAUUGUGUCAGGGGUUGCACACUAAGAUGUCCAGCACGUUGAAUAUAAAAGAUUUGGAAAUGUUUAAAAACUUUCAAAAAUAUCAAAAAUACCUAGAUGUCCAUCACAAAUUUGUAAGAUGGAACAGCAGUUUGCAACAUGUUUACAUGUCGUCUGGCUUAUUGUUGCUCAUGUUACACUGGUGUGUUCGUGAGCCCAUACUGGCUCACAUUUUGAUUCGAUAUCAGGGGUUGCACACUAAGAUGUCCAGCACGUUGAAUAUAAAAGAUUUGGAAACGUUUAAAAACUUUCAAAAAUAUCAAAAAUACCUGGAUGUCCAUCACAAAUUCGUAAGAUGGAACAGCGGUUUGCAACUUGUCGACAUGUCGUCUGGCUUAUUGUUGCUCAUGUUACACCGGUGUGUUCAUGAGCCCAUACUGGCUCAGAUUUUGAUUGUGUCAGGGGUUGCACACUAAGAUGUCCAGCACGUUGAAUAUAAAAGAUUUGGAAAUGUUUAAAAACUUUCAAAAAUAUCAAAAAUACCUGGACGUACAUGACAAAUUUGUAAGAUGGAACAGCGGUUUGCAACAUGUUUACAUGUCGUCUGGCUUAUUGUUGCUCAUGUUACACCGGUGUGUUCGUGAGCCCAUACUGGCUCAGAUUUUGAUUGUGUCAGGGGUUGCACACUAAGAUGUCCAGCACGUUGAAUAUAAAAGAUU